CCGGACGGCCAUCGGCUUCUGCCGCCGCCGCUCCAAGUCCGGCGGAAUCCUCGCCGCAAACCACCUCCGGUCGUCCCUCUCUCACCACCUCUCUCUCUCUCUCUCUAAAACUUCUCUUUUUCUUUCUCUCAAAGCCACCGCCUCUUCUCCCUCCACAGAUCCGCCUGCCGCCGCCUGCUCCAGCCCCGGUGAAUCGACGGCAGCCGUGCCUCCUCACGGCCCAUCCCCUCUCUCCAUCUCUCUCUUGCGUUCCCGACGACAGACGGCCAAGGAAGGAGCACCGCUGCCGCCGCUCGCCUCCCUCGUCCUUUCUCUAGCGUUUCCGGCAGCGGCUUCGGCCGCGCCGCCCCGGCCUCGCCGACGCCGCCGCCUUGCUCCGACUCCGUCUGUCUUGGCCGUGGGUGCCCGGCGGGCUGCUGCAACGCAUGCAGCGCCGGCAGCCGCGGCUUUGACAGCUCGACGUCGAGCUCAGACAGCCCGCACUCGUCUCCCUCUCGUCUCUCACACUCAACAAGGCAACGAAAGGAAAAAUUCUCAGAUUUGGAAAGAUUUGAUUUUGGUGUUCUAUAUUUCUGAAAACUUUUAGAAAAACAAUAUCUCUUGCUUGCUCCUAUUCAGAAAUGUAAGAAAAAUAUGCACUUGAUUUCUGUUCUUGCUUUUGUUCUUCGUUCAUUUGAAUAAUCGUGAAAUGAAAUAAAGUAAUAAUGUAGAGGUGUUUUUG
rnacentral:lncRNA from 1 species